rnacentral:lncRNA from 1 species
CUGACGGCACCCAUUCACUACAGAGGAUCCUUUAGUAAGCAAGUGAUGUAUGUCUGCAAAAUGACUAAAUGUAAAUGUAAAGGAAUGAGAAUUCACAAUGAGAACUAUUUCUUUAAACCAUCUAAGAAAUGUAAAGUGAAGUUUACCGUCAUGCUUUCAGCGUAAAAUUACCAUUUUACGAUUCUGGAUUAAACGUGGGCAUAAUUAAGUGAAUGUAAACCUUUGUGUAUAGCAGUUUACAGGUGUUGUAUCUGGACAUCUUUGUGUCUGUAUUCCAUGUUCCAACAGUUUGUGCUGUUCCCAGUCUCACGGUGUUCAUUUGUACUGACUGCUCUUGCUUGUUAGUGGACUCUUUGGGGAAUAAGGACAUAAGAUGAGACUGUACACUGCCUAUCUGUUAGGUUCUUUACAUUAAAAACAUAAUUCAUCAUAGUUCCUCUGUACCCAAGACAACUAAAAGACACUUCAGUGUCUCCAAAUCUCACCAAAGACCCAACUGACAAAUUAGUUAGUAACUUAACAAAAAUAGGCUUGUUUUUUGUUGUUGUAUGUUGUCUUGUUUUUUUGUCGCUGUAUUCCAUGUUCCAACAGUUUGUGCUGUUCCCAGUCUCACGGUGUUCAUUUGUACUGACUGCUUGUUAGUGGACUCUUUGGGGAAUAAGGACAUAAGAUGAGACUGUACACUGCCUAUCUGUUAGGUUCUUUACAUUAAAAACAUAAUUCAUCAUAGUUCCUCUGUACCCAAGACAACUAAAAGACACUUCAGUGUCUCCAAAUCUCACCAAAGACCCAACUGCAAAUUAGUUGACUUAACAAAAAUGGCUGUUUUUUGUUGUUGAUGUUGCUGUUUUUUUUGCUUGGGUGCAGGGGAUGGUAGCAUGUGGGAUUGUGUAUAGUGGAAAAAAGCUUCUUGACAUGUUUUACUGACACAUAAUUUAAAUGACGUGGUAAUAGAUAGUAUGUGCAUAAACAUUAAUUCACCAUAACUGAUUUUCAUCUGUGUCAGGGAUUAAAUUGUUGCAUUUGUUAUCUGAGCAUUAUCACGCUUUAUGUCCGGACACCAAACUUUAAUACUUUUGUAUUCCAGUAAGUUCAACUGUAGUGUAUUUUAUAAAUGGAUGAGGAGAGGAUAAUGUUAUUGGAACUCCCAUCAACAUUGAUAUAAAAUGUCAAUAAAACUGAAAUAUUAAUUUGCCUGAUGUUUUUAUUUUUGAAGUUCUGAUCUGAAUCGAAAGAUUCACGAACCCUCUCUGAAGAUCCAAUCUUUGAACUCCAAUCUGAAUCAAAUGAUUCGUGAUUCACGCUUUUAAAUCAAACUUCUUUCAGAAUUUACAUACUUUCAGCAUUUACAUUUACUACAUAAAUGUGAUACUUUUCUUUUGAGGAAUAAAGAGAUAUGUAGCCUGCCCAAGUUGCUCUUUUCCAUAUAAUGAAAGUGGAACAGUGCUAAAAUAUACAGUACACCAAAAUUUUAAAGUUGUUUGUUUGUUUGUUUUUUUCUAUUCACAGUAGCUUUCGAAUAACCAAAAAACACUGACAUUUCUCAAAAUAUUUUUUUUUAUGUUCCACAGAAGAAAGUCGUACAGGUUUGGAACAACAUGAGGGUGAGUAAAUGAUGACAGAAUUUCCUUUUUGGGAUGAAGAAGUAUAUAAAUGUUAUAUAGGUUUACAUUUAAGUCCACUUUUUAUUUAUGUAUUUAUUUUAUUUAAUUAAUCUU